rnacentral:lncRNA from 1 species
UGGGGGUGUGGAUCAGUCGGACCAGAGCUUUUUGGAUGAUGAGCAGAUGGACGGUGGAUUUGUGCUCACUUGUGUGGCUUAUCCGUCGUCUGACGUCACACUUGAGACCCACAAGGAAGAGGAGCUUACUGGUUAAGUGCUUUUGAGCUUUCUCAUGAUGACGUCAUGUUUUGAUGGCUGCUGGCUGGUUGGAUCUGCCUUAAGUUUGUUUCAGGAUAAGGUUGUCUUGUUUCUAAUUAUAUGAGUUGCUUAAUGUUUUUGUACUCUCAUUUGUGGUAUGGAGAUCAUUGUAUCUUGUAAACUCACCCUUGUAUGAAUCUCUCUCUUUGUUUGGAAGUGCUUUUAGAAUAAUUAGAGGUGCUUUUAGAUAAUUAAAAGUGUUUUUGAGUUGCAAAAGGUUCAAGAAGGAAGAACUUCCCAAUGCUUUUCCACGAAGCACUCUGGUUUUCAUCAAAAAUUUCAAAGUACUUGUAUUAAAAGUGCUUGUGAGCAGGUACCCCAAGUUUUCUAAGUUUAAAAGUGAAGGACAUGUCUUCAAACCAGAUUUGGGAAUCAAUUUUAACAUUGCUUAACAGGACAUUAAGUGUUAAGAC